rnacentral:rRNA from 1 species
GAUGAACGCUGGCGGCGUGCCUAAUACAUGCAAGUCGAGCGAAUGGAUUAAGAGCUUGCUCUUAUGAAGUUAGCGGCGGACGGGUGAGUAACACGUGGGUAACCUGCCCAUAAGACUGGGAUAACUCCGGGAAACCGGGGCUAAUACCGGAUAAUAUUUUGAACUGCAUGGUUCAAAAUUGAAAGGCGGCUUCGGCUGUCACUUAUGGAUGGACCCGCGUCGCAUUAGCUAGUUGGUGAGGUAACGGCUCACCAAGGCAACGAUGCGUAGCCGACCUGAGAGGGGGAUCGGCCACACGGGGACUGGGACCCGGCCCAGACUCCUACGGGAGGCAGCAGUAGGGAAUCUUCCGCAAUGGACGAAAGUCUGACGGAGCAACGCCGCGUGAGUGAUGAAGGCUUUCGGGUCGUAAAACUCUGUUGUUAGGGAAGAACAAGUGCUAGUUGAAUAAGCUGGCACCUUGACGGUACCUAACCAGAAAGCCACGGCUAACUACGUGCCAGCCGCCGCGGUAA